rnacentral:rRNA from 1 species
UAAUGUAUGGGGAUCUGCCCGAUAGAGGGGGAUAACUACUGGAAACGGUGGCUAAUACCGCAUAAUGUCUACGGACCAAAGCAGGGGCUCUUCGGACCUUGCACUAUCGGAUGAACCCAUAUGGGAUUAGCUAGUAGGUGGGGUAAAGGCUCACUAGGCGACGAUCUCUAGCUGGUCUGAGAGGAUGAUCAGCCACACUGGGACUGAGACACGGCCCAG